UUUAAGUGCAACCAUAAAUUCUCAUGCACAAUUUUGAUCGUUCAUCUUAUUUGAAAUUUUUUUACAAUCAGUACUUUUAUUGUUAUGAGAUGAUAAAACAUGAAUAAUUCUUUAUAUGUGAUUUAUGUUUUUAAUUUUUUUCAAAAAGCUUUCAAAUGAGACGGACAAUCAAAAUUGUGCACGGAAAAUCAUGACUGCAAUUAAA
rfam:Oryza nivara chromosome 6, whole genome shotgun sequence.